GUCAGGGAGGAGCUAAGCUGUUAAUGAACUAUAGAAGAGAGAGGAACUUCUCUAUUUAACAGAGUUCAAUACACAAUCCAUCAACAUUACCUUUAUUCAACAUGCUGUCACUGCAGCAUUGUGUGUUUUCUCUGAUGUUUCUCUCCAUCCUCACAGGUGUCAGCUGUGAAGAACUCACUCCAGUAGAGAAAGAAAAGGACAGUUUAGAAGGCAGCUCUGUUACUCUAUCCUACAGAUACUCCAAACAAGCGACUGGUGGUGAUCAGUUUUACUGGUAUCGACAAUAUCCAGGAAAACCACCAGAGUUCAUCAUCUUUCACUUGGGAACGCAAAAUGAAACAAACUCUAGACUGUCUGUUUCCUUGAGUGAGGAUAAAACCAAAAUUAUUCUUCAGAUCUCCUCUGCUGCAGUGACAGACUCUGCUCUGUACUACUGUGCUGUGAGGCCCACAGUGACAGCAAACCCACAGUCUCUGUACAAAAACACAAGCUGACACACUGACAAGCUGCUGGAAGACUUUUUUCUACACUGUUGUACUGAACUUUGUACCUCCACUAGAGGGCAACAUUAUCAAGUAGGAGGUGCACUACUUCUGCACUGUGUUCAACCAUUCAGUCAAUAAUAAGUGCUGCUGUGAAGAGAACAAUUCUCAGACUGAAUGUUGAA